CUUGGUGUUUGGUUCCUCCAGGUCGACGGCUUUUCCCUUCGUCCUCUCUCUCUCCCGCUCUUGUUCCUCGACCACCACGGCCGCUGCGCCGCCGACCGCCCUCGCCAGCCCGCCUCCUCGUCGUCCAGCCUAUCUCACCUCCGCUGCCGAGGAGGCUCGUGGGCCUCAGGUCUCCUGCUACUCUCUAAGGCAGUCGCCAGCGACGUCCCGGCGCUCGCGAAGGAGAAGACGCCGGCAUCGGCCACCAGGACGCUGCUGCCCUUCGACGAUGGCAGAGGCAGCGUUCGGAAGCAGAAGAAGCCGCGCUGGUGGUGGGUGUGGCCGUCGGUUAGGCAAUGGGGCUCCAUGUUCUUCCGACACAAAAAGAAAAACGCCCCUCGAGCAUUCUUUCUCUAUGGGCAGGUUCGGCCUUGGCAGUGCCUUGAUCUCAACCGCCACGAGUCGGACCCGAUCCCAGUCUCUGAGCUUUUCUCUGCAUGAACUGCCAAAAUGCAGGCUGGAGGGCUCAAGAAAGUUUAUGAGAUUGGAAGAAUAUUCUGGAAUUAAGGCAUCUCUACUCGUCAUCAUCCAGAAUUUACCACUAUGAAAAUGUGCUACUUUAAGAAAGGUCUGAGUCGUUGCCUUAUAUUUGGAAGCUAGAUGUAUGAAGCAUAUUCAGGUUAUGAAAGCAUGAUGAAUUUGGCUCAAGAAAUCGUAACUCGAUGUGCUAUGGCUACUCUUGGAAAGCUUAAGAUUGAUUACCAGGUAAUGAUUUUAUAGUCAACUAUGUCUGAGAAUAUAUUGUGCUGCGAUAUAUGAAUGGAUUUGGAUUAUCAGGACAAGUAUCACAGCAAAAUUAUGUCAUCAUUUGUUGCUCAUACUGCUGUUUUACUACACAACCUAUUUUAGUUUUUUUUAAUCUGUGUAUGCAUUUGUUCUUGCCAUCAAUGAUAAUGUACAUGUUGUCUUGUGUUUGGUCUUCUUGCCUAACCUGGAUGCUCUAUGCAGAUUGGCAUUGGGCGCAUGCGCACUCACACAUUAGCAUGUAAAGAACAUCUAUAGACAUAUGGUAAUUAUUCCUUUCACUCCUACCAUUGUUUAGUAUGAGCAGGGAACUGAUUAUCUCCCAAAAGACCAUGGAGGAGGCAAUCCAUGCAUCGUCUUGUCGAAGAAGCAACUGGAUUGACUUCAAUAGCUUUGGUGGUGUUGUAUCUGCUAAAAAUGCUGCAAAAGAACCGCUAGGAUCGAAACAGCAAGCAGUGAUAAUACUUCAUUGCAAGCUUGUUCAUCUGCUGGACAUGUUCUGAAUGAGGAUACUGAGGUUGCUGGUUUCAUAUAAUAUUUUUUUUGGUGAAUCAAUAGAUCUGAAAAUGGUUGCAUGGACGCUGCAAGAGGAAGAAGAUGAUAAAGCUUUGAUUUUCUUUGUGCCAAUUUUUCUUUACCUUUUCCAGCAUGUACAGUUGACAGCGUAUGGGAAAAAGUGUGUAACAAUUGUGCUGAGCUAUUUUAAGCGGUUUAUUGCAAAAAUCUGUUAUUUAUUGCGAAAUUGUUGAAAAUAAUCAAUAUAUUUUAGCCAUUUUAGGCAUCA